GUUGAACGCUGGCGGCAGGCCUAACACAUGCAAGUCGAGCGGAUGAAGGGAGCUUGCUUCUGGAUUCAGCGGCGGACGGGUGAGUAAUUCCUAGGAAGCUGCCUGGUAGUGGGGGAUAACGUCCGGAAACGGGCGCUAAUACCGCAUACGUCCUGAGGGAGAAAGAGGGGGUUCUUCGGACCUCACGCUAUCAGAUGAGCCUAGGUCGGAUUAGCUAGUUGGUGGGGUAAAGGCCUACCAAGGCGACGAUCCGUAACUGGUCUGAGAGGAGGAUCAGUCACACUGGAACUGAGACACGGUCCAGACUCCUACGGGAGGCAGCAGUGGGGAAUAUUGGACAAUGGGCGAAAGCCUGCUCCAGCCAUGCCGCGUGUGUGAAGAAGGUCUUCGGAUUUUAAAGCACUUUAAGUUGGGAGGAAGGGCAGUAAGUUAAUACCUUGCUGUUUUGACGUUACCAACAGAAUAAGCACCGGCUAACUUCGUG
rnacentral:rRNA from 1 species